rnacentral:tRNA from 1 species
GUGGGUGUAGCUCAGCUGGUAGAGCACCGGGUUGUGGCCUCGGCGGUCGUGGGUUCAAAUCCCAUCACUCACCCCA